rnacentral:rRNA from 1 species
GCCCAARACAUCUAGCCACGCCACACCCACAAGGGCCUUCAGCAGUGAUCAACCUUAAAAAUAAACGUCAGUUUGAUUUAGUUAAUGAAAAACAGGGCCGGCCAAUCUGGUGCCAGCCGCCGCGGUUAUACCGAUGGCCCAAGUUGAUUUUAACCGGCGUAAAGCGUGAUUAAAGAAUAACUCAUAUGGGGUUAAACUUARACUAAGUUGUAAAAUGCUUGUUAUUAARAAACCCUCUCCCGAAAGACACCCCAACCAAUCAACUUGAAUUCACUACAUCUAGGACACAAACUGGGAUUAGAUACCCCACUAUGCCUAGCCAUAAACUUUAACUUACCCCCCCCCCCCCCCGGGGAACUACAAGCAAAGCUUAAAACCCAAGGGACUUGACGGGGCUCCCCCCCCCCCAAAGGARCCBGUCCUAAAAWCAAWAACCCCCCCUUAACCCCCCCAUUUUUAGCUCCCCAGUCUGUAUACUUCCGUCGCCGGUUCACCGCAGGAGCGAAAUAAAGUGAGCUCAACGCUUAACCMCCCAUACUUC